rnacentral:rRNA from 1 species
CCCAGACUCCUACGGGAGGCAGCAGUGGGGGAUAUUGCACAAUGGGGGGAACCCUGAUGCAGCGACGCCGCGUGGGUGAAGAAGCGCCUCGGCGCGUAAAGCCCUGUCAGCAGGGAAGAAAAUGACGGUACCUGAAGAAGAAGCCCCGGCUAACUACGUGCCAGCAGCCGCGGUAAUACGUAGGGGGCAAGCGUUAUCCGGAUUUACUGGGUGUAAAGGGAGCGUAGACGGCAAUGCAAGCCAGAUGUGAAAGCCCGGGGCUCAACCCCGGGACUGCAUUUGGAACUGUGUAGCUGGAGUGCAGGAGGGGCAGGCGGAAUUCCUGGUGUAGCGGUGAAAUGCGUAGAUAUUAGGAGGAACACCAGUGGCGAAGGCGGCCUGCUGGACGACAACUGACGGUGAGGCGCGAAAGCGUGGGGAGCAAACAGGAUUAGAUACCCGAGUA